GUUCUUGUUUUUAUAGUUAUAGUCACUGGAAUGCACUGGAUCUUUCCGAGAUCAAUCAUCAAUAGAGGAUUUUGUCCUUGGUUGGUAGGAGUUGGUUGAGAUCUUGAUCCCAUUGCUUAUGCCAGUACAAUAAGCUCGACCUAAACCUUAGACUGUGUUACCCCUUCAAUCAGCACGCAACCCAAUUGAUUAUUAUUCCUCAUAUCAUGAAUUUGUUCUAUGGACUAUUCUUACAACAUCACUAAUCAGGAAAAAUUGCGUCUUUCGUUUCUCUGAAAAAACUCUUUUUGAACACGAUGCGGUUCUUGGGUUAGAAGGCCUUGUCACGUUUUGCUGUUGCCCUACCAGUCUACCACUAGUGCAAUUGUUGUCGUCAACUAGUAUGCCUUCUACGUUUAGCAUGUAAGAGAGCUAACAAAAGUAUUUGUAUAGUUGACGCCUGUAUCUUGUAAUAUCCCUGUGAAGGUUUUUUAUUUUUCUUGAUCGGCAAAAGUAACAUAUCCCUGUGAAGGUUGAUAUGUUGCCAAGGACUUACCGUUCGUUUUAAAUUUACACAAAAAUGGAAUCACCAUGUAUAUAGCUUUAGUGUGGAAGUAGGGAAUUUGUCAAUCAUAUUUUCGAGAGAGGGAGGGAGGGAGCUGUUCGUUUAUAACUUACACAGAAAUGGAAUCACUAUGCAUAUAGCUUUAGUGUGGAAGUAGGGGAUUUGUCAUUUGUAUUUUGGAGAGAGAGAGAGAGAGAGAGAGAGAGAGAGAGAGAGAGAGAGAGAGAGAGAGACCAAAUGCGUACAUUCACUUGUUAUUUCAAAAUAAUUGAUGUGAUUCUCUCAACUACAAUAAGAGAGCUGAUUGAAGUCCAAACCAGGUGUUAUGCUAAGAGAUUCAAAAAAUUUAAGGAUCCAAAGACAAGACAAGUCAAGCGGAUCUGGUGAUUGAUUUUCAGUCUAAUAGGAUUAUAUUUCAGAAUUUUCUUUUCUGAGCAACCAAAUGGAGGACAUGAAAUGGGGGGCAAAUCUGGGAUUUUUUCUCAAGCAUUUUUUGGGGUAAGAUAGUUGUUAUUAAAAGAAUUACUUAGGCCAAGGGAAUAUCCUUGAGAAAACCAUACACGGGCUACGCCAAAAUAAUACCAAGGAAAUCUAACCCACUAUUUCACAGAGACUUGAAAACAAAUCUUAAAAACUAGGCCAGAGCUUUGGAACAGCUCUACUCCUCAAAUUGCUAGGAAAUCUUUAGGUAAAUCCCACUCUUUCUUCAGGUUUAUGUUUUCUGCUGUAUUGGUAACAUUUGUCCAGCCCUACAAGCCCUUGGUCUACUAUGUCGUUACCGACUUGACUGCUAGUGGGAAGGGAGGUGUGGGUGAAGGAAAUCGAGCUUCAGUGGCUGUGUCUAGCCCUGCAAGAUGCAUCUUCAGGGUAUGAUAAGGAGUUUGCUCGUAGUUUUGGGGGUUUAGUAAGGAGAGUGAAGGUAUGUCUUGUCUGCUCCUUGAAGGAGGUUUUUGGCUGAGGUGGAGGUGAGAGACAGUGGGAAGUUUUGGUAUGUGGUGCUGCUGGAGUUGUGCGGAUCAAGGAUGUGACAAAUAUUGGGGGUUGGCCGGACAACACGGUGGCGGUAAAGGAGAAGAGGAAGAUACAUAAGGGGUGUGAUGUAGAAGUUCUGGUGGAAUCUACAGAGAGUUCUAUGAGUUUCCUAGGGAGUUGUUUGGUGGGAAGGCUGGAGGAGGGGGUGACGAAUCUGCCAUCAGCCAUGGAAAUACAGAGGUGGGCUCAGAGAAAUUGGAAAGUGACAGCUGGGGUCCAAGCUUUAGAGUUGGGUGGAGCUUGUUUCCUGUUUACUCUGCCGUUGGUGGAGGAAGCACGAGUCUUGAGGGGUAGAUGGAGUUUUGGAGAUAGGAGAGUGGAAUUGGAAUGGUGGUCGCCAAUUGGGGUGUUGUGUGAAAAAGGGGGAGGUUGCAGCGAAGGUAUGGACUAUGGGUGAGGGUUUUAGGUUUCCCUUUACACCUUUGGAUUUUGAAGUGUUCAGAGAGAUUGGAGAUUUCUGUGGUGGAUGAAUGAGGGUGGAUGAUGAAACGAAGAAACGAACACAUUUCCGUUGGGCCAGAAUCGCGGUGACGGCUGCACCGGCAAAGAUCCCGGCGAGUGUGAAGGUGGCGAUGGGGGGUUGGCUGUUUGAACUACCUUUAUGGGUAGAGAAGGGGCCAAAAGUGGUAUUUCAACUUGUUUUAAGGUGGACAGGGGAGGGGAUGGAGGACGUGACUGGAUUACAUGUGGUGGUGAGGAGGGGAGAGGAAGGAGGGGGAUGACGCGUGGCGGUUACUGUCGUUAUACGAGUGGUGGGGAUACGGUUGGGGAGUCUUACGGGCCCAGGGUUUUUUCGAAUUUUGAAUCCUUGAAUAGGGGUGGUUCUGGGCCUUCAUAUGUGGGUCGGUUUCAUAAUAUGUUGGGCCAGUUUAAUGAGGGGAUGGGAAAGCAAAAACCAGCUCAUUACAACAUUAUUAACAGCAGUGGAUCAGAUGCAAAAUGGGCCUUUUUAUUUAAAAGGCCUGUUAAGUCCAGAUUGGUUGAGAUCAAAAGCAGAAAAUGGGCCAGAAUAGGAGACCCAGGUGGAGGGACAAGUUUUAAAGGGGUGUUUCUACCGGAGAUAAUAACAGGGUGGAAACAAUCGGUGAAGAUCGAAAUGGCCCAGUUGAAAUUCUGCGACGAAUAGACAAUGGAGGAAGGAACGAUGAUGGGGUCGCACAUCCUAGGUGAGCGUUGGAUUACAGUUAGGUAUGUAUGAUUCCUCACUGUUUAAAUCCUUCUCUUCCUCCUUUUUCGUUUUUGGAAGAAGGGGGCUCUGGUGUUUGUUUGAAGAAAUGCUCGUCUUUGGUUGAAUCUCCUUUGGGGAAUUCGGUGUCAGCUUCAAUAUUGAAUGAGGAUGAGAGGGUGGUGGAGGUUAGUUGUGGAGGUGAGGGUGUUCUUUCGGGCAGCGACAAGGGCAACAGUGGUCAGAUUUGGAGAUGGGAAAGGGGGUGGAUAUGGGUACGGUGGAUAGGGGCUGGUUGAGUGAGGUCGGGAAGGGGGAUGUGAGUUCAAGGGGGAUGGAACUAGUACCCAAUGCUGGGUUGGAUGAUGGGGAAUUGCUGGUUUGGGGAAAGGCAGAAUGAGGAUUUGUUUAAUCAUUUGGGGUGGAUGCAGGACGAAACAGAUGAUCGGUUGUUAGUGAGUAAUGAUGUGUUUAAUCCACUUGUUAGGGAGUAGGAGGGGAGAUGGAACGAUGCAGAUGUACUAACGAGUGGGAUGUCACAAGAAGUCUCUAAUGGGUUUUGAAGAGGAUUAAUGGAGUUAGCAAAUUUUUAGGUGUGUCUUUCGAUGGUUUUGAAGAAAGAACGACGCAGCCUUUCACGGAUAUUGAAGAAAGAUGGAGGAAGGGAGCAGUACCAGAAACGAAGAAAAGUGGGAGCAAAAAUAGAAAGGGGUGAGGGAGUUGAAGAGGUUACAGUGCUCAAUCUUUUCAUGAAGAUUAAAAUCCUAAGCUGGAAUGGGAGAGUUGUGGGAUGAGCUAUCGGCGGUGGCGUUUAGAUGGGAUGCUCCGGUGGUGGCGUUUAAUGCAGUUCGUUUCCCAUUUGAGAAAGUGGGACGUAACUCUAUUUCAAAUGAUAUGAGAAGAUUCACAGAUUUCAUAAAUGAGUUGGAGCUUGUGGACCCACUACUUGGUUUGGUUUGAUUUCACAGUUAUUUGUCGCGCACUGAUCUGUUCUUAUUCUCUGUAACUUGGGUUUUCAUUUUCUAAUGUGGCUCAAUUUUCUCUUCCAAGACCUAUUUUGGAUCACAGUCCUAUUUAGUUAGUAAGUGGGGGUAUUCGGCAAGGAAGAACUCCGUUUAGAUUCAAAUAUAUGUGGUUGUUGGUUGAGGGUUUCGUGGAAAUGGUGGGUGAGUGGUGGAGUAAUUAUUCAGUGAUGGGGAAGCCGAGUUUUGUUUUAGCAAGAAAGUUGAAAAUGUUGAAAGAAAAUUUGCGUAAAUGGAACUCCGAGGUCUCUGGGCAGUUGGAGGUUCAAAAAGCCAAGGUUAUUGAUGAAAUUUGCCGUUGGGAUGUAGAGGAACAAGUUCGGGCUCUUAGGGAGGAGGAGAAGGUCUUGAGGGAUAGUGCUAAAGAAGAAUUUGGAAAAAUUGCGAAAUUCGAAGAAAUUAGUUGGAGACAAAAGUCCGUGAACCUUUGGUUGAAAGAAGGGGACAGGAAUACUCGUUUCUUUGAUAGGAUGGCUAAUUUUAAUCGGAGGAAUAAUUUUAUUGGUAAAAUUAAAGUAG